rnacentral:lncRNA from 1 species
CUAAUUAACCGCUCCACAUUCUAGGGUUUUAUAGAAAAAAAAAAAUCCCAAAUCAUAGUGAAGCAUCUAGGCGACUCCUCCUCCCCUCUGAAGAAUAGAUGCUUUGAGUUCAAUCACUACUAGUAUACAAGCAUCGAUCAUCAGGUAAAUCAUCAACUUAACUUUCGACUAUGGCUUUGCAUUUGUUUUGGAGCAAUACACUGGUCAAUCCCUUGUCUUCUCCAAGGAUUGAGUGUUGAACUUGGUUAUCAAGGAGCUUGUUAAGGAAAAAGAUGAAGAAAAAGAAAGCUUAAAUGGAUAAGGUGGAUAAAGAUGUUAUGCUCAAUAGUCAAUAGGAUGUCAUAAAUUGAUGCUAUGAUAACAGCUAUGCUUCGAAGAUAGGCUGUAAACUAAGUUUUGAAUGUUUCAAUAUUAGGAUAAUUUUGGUAUAUAAUGAUUUAGUUUGUAUUUUUAUUAGAAU